rnacentral:rRNA from 1 species
UACGGAGGGAGCAAGCGUUAAUCGGAAUUACUGGGCGUAAAGCGUGCGCAGGCGGUGAUGUAAGACAGAUGUGAAAUCCCCGGGCUCAACCUGGGAACUGCAUUUGUGACUGCAUCGCUGGAGUGCGGCAGAGGGGGAUGGAAUUCCGCGUGUAGCAGUGAAAUGCGUAGAUAUGCGGAGGAACACCGAUGGCGAAGGCAAUCCCCUGGGCCUGCACUGACGCUCAUGCACGAAAGCGUGGGGAGCAAACAGG